UUGGUGGAUCUGCCCUGCACUUCUGGAUAAGCUUGGGAAACUUGGUCUAAUACCGGAUAGGAGCCAUCUUUAGUGUGGUGGUUGGAAAGUUUUUUCGGUGUAGGAUGAGCUCGCGGCCUAUCAGCUUGUUGGUGGGGUAAUGGCCUACCAAGGCGGCGACGGGUAGCCGGCCUGAGAGGGUGUACGGCCACAUUGGGACUGAGAUACGGCCCAG
rnacentral:rRNA from 1 species